UACAGAGGUCCCAAGCGUUGUUCGGAUUCACUGGGCGUAAAGGGUGCGUAGGUGGUGGGGUAAGUCGGAUGUGAAAGCUCGGAGCUCAACUCCGAAAUGGCAUUGGAAACUACCCUGCUUGAGGGUCGGAGGGGGGACUGGAAUUCUCGGUGUAGCAGUGAAAUGCGUAGAUAUCGAGAGGAACACCAGUGGCGAAGGCGAGUCCCUGGACGACUCCUGACACUGAAGCACGAAAGCUAGGGGAGCAAACAGG
rnacentral:rRNA from 1 species